CAGGCCAGUCUUGAACUCCUGACCUCAAAGGAUCCGCCCGCCUCGGCCUUCCGAAGAGCUGGGAUUAUAGGCAUGAGCCAUUGCGUCUGGCUCUGCUUGGAUGAUUUAGAUUGGGAUGAUAAAGUUAUUCAUUGUAUUAAAUAACUUUGUGCUUUCUCUUAUCCCUCAUGAAAUCUUCUUUCUUAUUAGGUGCCUAUUUAUCAACUGCAUAAUGGGUAAAAAUAUGUGAGUCCUUACUUGCUAUAGGCACAGAAUAAUAUUUGAAUUUAGCUUAAAUAUUGUUUAUAUAAAAUCCACUCCUGAAUCCAUUUAAACAAUUCUAAAAUUAGGAUAUUCCAUGUGUCUUCUGCCUUACAAGCAUAGAAAUAUUGUUUUCCCUUGAUCUGUGCAUAUCAUUCUGUACUAGUGGGUUGCUGUAAGGACCAAAAGAAGCUUUCCUCAUAAAACUUCUGUGCUCACAAAAGAGCUUAUUGAUGUCAUAUGGGCAGCUCUUUAAACACACACACACACACACACACACACACACACACACCACUUAAAACUGGAUUUUAGAAAGCAAAUAGUUUAUUGACUUUUAUUCUAGAAAAACAAUUACCAAAAUGAUUUUUGGGAAUAAUCUAGAAAUUCGACCAGGAGGUCCUUUCUGCAAAGCUAUGGUGACACAGUUGAAAUGAAGAAAAUGUCCAUGAAAUAAGUCUGGGCUACUCUGUAUUGAUGGUGUCUACCCAGCAAAAGUUCCAAUGCCUGAAGCCCAGAGUCAGAGGAUGGGUAAGCCUGGGAAUGCCAUCUGUCUAUGAGACAUGGUAAACACCAACAUUUUAAAAGGAAUCUUAGUCAAUGGAACCAGAAGUGAUAUAACAAAGUUUUACUUACCCUGAUGACCUCCUGUGGCAAACAGAAUUUAUUGAUGAUUGAACAUGAUUGCUAUCAUACUGAGUGAUCUCUUUAAUGUUAAAAUGCAAAGGAAAUAAAGUGGGUUGCCUAACAAGUAACAUGAAGUUUAUACUUAUGAUGCUGUACUAUUGGAUCAUCUACUCCUUUUUGUUUAUUAUGUUACUUAGAUUUGGAAAUCUUUCAGUUUUUGACAUUAAUCCUUAUAAUGCUAUUUUAUGGUCAGCAAAAUGGAGACCCACAUGUAAAAAUUCAUCUUAAAUCACUGAAAUAUUCUUUAAAUCUAUACAGUUUGAAAAUAUAGCUGAAUAUGAUAAUAUCACUUAGGGUAUUUGUUUAUGAUUAUACAAUUUCCUCCAGUCUUUACUUAUUUAUAUAUUUAUUGUUUGUUUGUUUCCUUUUCCUGCCUGCAAACCCUCCAGUCUUUAAAUAAAUUGGAACUUCCAAUGAACUUUUUACAUGAAAAUAACUUUCACUGAGUACUUCUUUGAUUUUAGCAUUCUAAAUGACUUUCAUUUAAAAAGUAUUCAGAAUUAAGUAUAUAGAAAAACUGAUAGUACAUACAUAGUGACUACAUAUACCAUUUUAAUAAUUUUCAGCAUGCAAAAGUAAUUAUAUGUAUUAUACUGGUAGAUUUAUUUCCUCAUUGUAAGAAGAGUCCUAAUACAGACAGCUUUAAUUUGUCAUAACCUUGAGAAUUCUUUGGGAUUUAUGUUAUACAUGAACUAAUGAUUAACUAAAUAUACUCUAGUCAUAGUCUUUCAUUCAGUGAACACAGAGUUUAGGAAACAUUCUAUGUAGGAAUAUGAAUCAUAAAGCAGGAAGAUUUUUUUGCUAGCUACUUGUAUCCCCAUAGUGAUAGUAGGUAUUAAGCUGAAGCUAGAAGGAGAUUCCAUACUUUCAUAUGGUCUUCAAAUAAUUUUAAACCAACUAAAUUCUUUUCAGGCUUGAAUUUCACGUGUUCCAAUAACCCUAGGCUUUUUUUUGAAUCUUAUUAUCACAGGAUAUGUAAUUUUAGAAAUGUUUUUAUUUAAGUCAUAAAAUAAAAUGUACCCCUGCUAUAGCAUGGAUAUUUCAUGACUUUGGAUUUAACAUGAGCCAGUCUUCUCUCAGCUAAAACCAUUGUUAGGAUGGGGUUCUUGCAGAAUCACAAAAGGUGAGAGCUUUAUUUUAUACAAAAUCUGUUACUCUUUCUAGAGGAAAUGGUUUGCUAUUUCUUAGUGAAUUUCAGCAGAGUAGGAUCUAUUAGAUCCCAUUAACUCAAAUUUAGUGAUUAGUGAUAAACUGGCAGAUUAUUAAUAGACUUGAAUUGUAGGUUGUACCUGUACUAAAAAAUAAAGUCAAGGUUACUUGGAGAUUUGAUACAUACAAGUUGAGUUUUAUUCUGAGUUAAUAACUCAAUUCUUCAUUUAAGUUGGUAAGCAUGUCAGUUUGGUGUAUAUGUAAUCUUUUUUAUUAGAUUUAUUGCAAUAUUCUAUCAAUACUGAUUAAUUCAUUUUACUAGAAUGACCCCAAAGUGUUGGAAUAAAACUGAAGGUAAAUAUAUUCAUUCAUUAAUCUACUCUCUCAAUAAUUCAUUCAUUCAUUUAUUUGUAAACAAACAUUCUCUGCCUUCCUAGUAUGUGUUAAGCCCUGCACUAGUCUCUAAAAUACAUUAGUCGGUAAAAAAAUAGAAAAUACAAAAAAAACUAAAUAAAACAUGUAUGAUUCUCGCUCUCACGAAGCUUCAGACAAGUGGAGGAGCCAGGCAUUAAUCAUAUCAUCAUACUCAUGAAAAAAUAAUUAUAAACAGAUAUGUUUUUAUGGAAAGUAAUUUGCUACUCAGUAUAAUAGAGCAACCAGGCUUUGUCUGGGGGUGAGGUGGGGGUGCUAGGGAAGGCUCUGCAAAAGGUUGAGUAGGGUGACGUAUGAAGGAAUUUUCCAUUUGUAGAAGAAAAGGCAUUUGCAACUGCCCCAGGUGAGAGGAAGAUGCUGAGGGGAGAAAUGGAAAUAAAGCAAAAGUUUAAGUUGUUUGGGAAAGAAGCGCAAGAUUAAUCAAGGGCCAAACCACUCAAGGAUUUUUAGUCCAUUUAUCUACCUUGGCCUUUAUCCUAAGAGAAAGUGGCAAUUAUGGAAAUAAUCUUGAGAAAAAAAGGUUUAAUGGUGGUCCCCAUAAAACUAUGUCCAUGUCCUAACUCUUGGAACCUGUGAAUGUAAUCUCAUUUGGGAAAAGGGCCUUUUAGACAUAAUUAAGUGAAGGAUCUUGUGAUUGAGUUAUCCUGUAUUAUCCCAGUGGCCCCUAAAUCCAAUGACAUGUCCUUCUAAGAGAGAAAAGAGAAGGACCCCAAAAGAGAGGGCCAUGUGAAGAUGGAGGAGGAGAUGGGAGUGAGCACCUACAGUCAAGGAAUGAUGACAGCAAUCAGAGAACGGGAGAGGCAAGGAACAGACUGCCUCCUAGAUCCUCUGAAAGAAACACAAUCCUGCAGUCACCUUGAUUUCAGACUCUGGCCUCCAGAACAAUAAGAAAAUAAAUUCUGGUUGUUUUAAGUCACAGAGUUUGUGGUAAUUUGUUAUAGCAGCCGUGAGAAACGAAUGAGAGCCUGCGACCCAGUCAGCCUUAUGUUGUCAGGGGUCUUUCAGCUGCAGCACGUGGAGACCUGAUCCAUGUCAAGUCAGAGAGGACUGGGAGGGGCCAGAGAGUAGAUUUUUCACUUUAUUUGAGACAAGAGCUUGGUAACUUGCUUGGACUAGAGGGAUGAUAGUGGAAAUAGAUUGAAGAACUAGUUAGGAAAGUUGAGAGGACUUGGUGAUGGACUAUUUGCCCAGGUAAGGGAGACAGGUAAAUGCCAGUUUUAAGAUUCUACUUUUCUUAUUUUUGGCAGAAAAGUUGGCAUUGUUUUCAUUCAAGGAGUAUUUAUUAUCUUUCUACUAUGGGUCUGAUACCGUCCUAAGUUCUGGUGACAGUGGCAAAUAAAACAGAUAGGGUCAUGCCCUUUCAGAGAUUAUAGUAAGGCAAGAAAUGAGGACAAAUUGUGAUUUGUGGAUGCGUAUAUGCAACCAAAUAGAAAAAGUUAGUAAUAAUAACAUUGGCUUAGUUUACACUGGAACCAGGGUAGUCAUCACAUCACACUUAUGCCAUACAUAGCUGACCAGGAGGAUGUCAUGAGACAAAGAAUAUAAUGUACUAUAAUGGCUUUUUAAAAAGGUAAUCCCCAACACAAUCUUCUUAUGUUUGGAUGAAAUGAGAACAUUUAUAGUAAGAUGUCAUGGUAAUACUCUUAUAUCUAAACAAAAUACCAAUAAUUGUGUUUUUCCUCUGUUUAAGUGAGGGGAUUAUACCAACCAAUUCCCUAAGGUCCUUUUAGCUUAAAAACAAAAAACAAAAAAACCCCAACUCUUUUUUUUUUUUUACUACAUGUUAUUCUUUUUUUACUAUAAGUUCAUUGUCAAGAUCUGAUCUUUAGGAAGAAUUUAAGUGUAAUUGAAGGAUAAGCAACAGUUUAUAAAUAGAUCUUAAUUUAAAGAAGGUGUGAAUAUUCAUGUUUUUCAUAAGUGAUUCUUAGAUAAGAAUUAAAAUUUUUCCCCCUGAAAUAUUGUCAUGCCAUAAGCUGGGGAUUCCAAUGUUUUUCUGGUCUUUACUAUCGAUUUUGUGUAUUCUUUUUGCUCUUUUAGCAUUUUGAAGAAAGAGAGGAGGGUGAACAUUGAAUUGUAAUUUGUAGGGAUGUAAGUCUAGUUUCAGGUGUCCUCUCUCAUGACUUCCUUUCUUAAAUCUCAUUCCAUCAAUUCCUGACUGGAUAGCUUUCAAUUGGCUCUUUAACUUGAGCCAAAUUAAAAAGUGGUGCUGACUUGGCCACAUACUAUGGGAUUUUCCUAAACAGUGGCAGGACUUGCAUGUAGGUAUCCACUUUGUGAAGUGUGUGAGGUUCUGACACUGGAGGAGUCCACAGAAGGUAGAGGGGAGCUCACCACUGGAGGAGGCUGAUGACCUUAGAUGUGAAUCCUGCUGUACUACUCACACAUUACCAUCUGACUAAUCUGUAAAAUACAUAUUUUGUAAACUCACUUUAAGGGUUAGUAAAUCUAUUCAUAAAGUAUCACAGUUCUUAUACUGUAGUAGGGAUUUAAUGAAUGGUAUCAAUUACUAUAGUUAUUGCAAAAGUGUUAGGAAAAGUCAUCUGACAUCUCUGUAAAACAGUUGCCACUGUAUAGCCACUUUAAUUAAACGCUCUGGAUUGAGACUGGGUAGCUCAGUUCAUUUGAGGAUAUAGACUGUAGCUGCUCCAAAGGAGAAUGUGAAAAACUUAAGAGAAUACAAAAAGGUGAAGAUCUUCAGUAUUUUCAAAUAGCCAAAUUUGGCUCCAUUCAAAUAUGCUUAGGGAAUGGAAAAUCAUAUUGUGUUUAGAAUAGCGCGUUACUAAAACAUCUGUAUCCCAUCAUACAUAUCUGUUAACUUUACAAUGCUUAUUUCAAAUCUAGUUUCAUUGUAAUUUCCUAUAUAAGGGAAAAACAUAUUCUCCCAAGCUGUUGACUUGCUAGACGUUCCUUGGGUGCUUCUGAAAACUGCAUUUGAUGCUUUCCUUUCAUAAGAGUGUGAUUUAAUAAAGUAUUAUUUACUUAGCUAAUGACUAAACACUAACUUAGCACAACUGAAGAAAUACCUUACCAGAUUUCUCCAGAAUAACCAUGUAGGUCAGUAAAGAUCCAUUUAUUUUAAACUAUGUUUGAAAAACACCUAGUUUCAUAUUUUCUCACAUUUUAUCUGAGAAGUGCACAGUGUUUAUUUGUAAAGUGGAAAUGAAUUUUAAUAUUGCACCUCUUACUGCUGUGGGGUUUAGAGUUGACUUCAUAUCAUUAAAUGCAUGGAUGAAUUAGUGUAUUUAUUUGCAUGUAUGAUAUAUCUGUAUUUCAAAGCAAACAUUUCAAAGGAUCACUAAAAUAUGUAUGUAAAGUUUGUAUUUGCCUCCUAGUAAUGUUCAUAGAGGGUAUGCACUACACAGAUCUGGUUUUAUAAGAAAAAAUUGGACUGUUUGGAACUCCAUUACUCAAUUUUCAUGGGCAUAUAGUAGGCAGACUUAUAUAUGCAAAUUUUGCAAAUGUUUAUGACAUAAUUUUAAAAUCUGACAGUAAAUAGGUAAGAUCAAAUUCUACCCACAGGUGACUUAAUAUUGGUCAAAACAGUGGUUUUGCUCUUCUACAUUUACAACACAGAACCAAGACACACAGGGCCAAGCAUAGUUUGUGAGACAGUUGCACACAUUUCAUUUUAAAAUACGGGUGCCUUACGGUAAGUAACUUGAAACUGAAGACAUAUUGGAAAUAGUGCCAGGGGGUGGUGUGCCAUUUUACUUAUCCAUAAAUGGAAACUCCUUUAAUUAUGCACAACAUGGUCUCAUAUUUUUUACACUCUUUUCCCUAGAUUUUAGUUCUUACUUUUAAUUUUAUCACAAAUAGAUAUUAAUCAGAUUUAAAUAUAUACGAGAGCUUCGUUUCACUUUGAUACAUGUGUAGCUGAUUCCCAUGGAAGUUAAUGGGGGUUAUGAAUGUAUGCAGAGGGGAGAGUACAACCAUAGCCUCCAAAACAAAUUUAGAACAAUUUAAAAUGCCCUGGAGUAAUAAAGAGCUAGUUUGAGGGGUCAAAAAGAGGGUAAAUACAUGUUUUAAAGAUGAUUUUCGUAAAAACUCUUGUGGCUUUUUUGAAGCCCAAGGGAGGGAUAGAUGGGUGUGAACAGAAAAAAAGAAUAAACUAACAAUUAUGCCUCGGGUAAAAGUGUAAAUUACAGUUUACCUUGGCAGAAAGCAUGUGCACGGUAACAUUUUUUAAUGAGUGCUAUUUGUAGUUCUAAGAGCUGUGUAAUCAUUGUUUACUCCUUAGAAUGCCCUUGUGAGGUGUGUGUUACCUACCAAUCAGCCUCAUGUGACAAUGACAUGGAGACACAUUUAUCAUUCAGUUUUCAGGAACUAAUAUUUUAAGUAAUCUACCAAGCUACCAUCAAUAUGCCCUGUGCAAAUGAGGAAACCUCAAAUUAAAGGGGGUUAGGAAUUUUUCUCAAAUACUUGAGAGGCAGCAUUUGGGUUGGAUUUGGUGAGGAAUCAUUCUCUUGCAGUAUCUAAGAGACAUACAAUACAUUUGUUGCCAUAUAUCAUGCCUGCCUCCCCAUUUUUCCACCUCAUUCCUUUCUUUCCCACAGUCAGACUUAUUAUUAGUUAUCAAGGUGCUAGGAAAAUACAUGCUUAGAACCAAAGUCUUGAAUGCUAUCUAAAUGUUGGCCAUGUUACCCUCUCCUUAAAAACCAUUAACAAAUAUUAACUCAACUGGUGAAACCAAAUACAAAUAUUUAUCCCUACUCCUCUGAGGCGCUAUAACAAAAGUAACCUAAUGCCAACACCAGUUGGGUGAUAUAAUAUGCCAACUAUGUGACUUGGCAUUAUGUACUUCAAUAAAAACCAUAGAAGUAAAAUCACAACACCUGGCUUCUAAUUCUGUGCUUCUCAACUCCAGCUGCCUAGUAGAAAUAUCUGGUGAGCUUAAAAAACAUACAGAUGCCAGAGAUACCCUCUUUCCCCAAAAGUCUAAUUUACUUGUUUUGGGGGGAGGAUCAGGCAUCAGUAUUUUCACAAACUUUUCAGAUGAGUCCACUGUUCUACUUUCCAUUUUAAAAUUUCUAAUUUCUGUGAAUUCCUUUUAAGAACUCAAACUCUCUUAAGCUUCUAUUCUUGCAUCUCUGAAAUUGGGAUAAUAUAUACCUAGCCUGUUUGUCUCACACCAUCUUGAAAAUCAAAUGGAGUGUUGAUUUUAAAACCUGUGAAAACUAUGACAUGAUGACAAACUUGAGAUAUACUUGUGAUGGUCGGGUUAGCUUUCUUAUAAUUUAAAAGAGUAAAGUUUGAAGAAAACUUCUUGGGAAGAAAUCUCCAGUUUUCCUUGAUUUUCCACAGUGGUUUUUUGAUACAACUUCAGUCUAUUUUAACUCAAGUAUAUAUUGUGCACUUGUGCAUAAUGUAUGUUAAUGAGUAUUUGCCAACUCAAUGGUUAGAAUAGAUAGUAGAAAGUGAUGUGUGUGUGUGUGUGUGUGUGUGUGUGUGUGUGUAUAAAAGUUUGUCCAUGUAGAUAUCUGGGAAAACUCUACAUAGAUUUGAAGAAUGGAUAGUGAGAAACAGCUAUAAAGAGGUGAUUGGCCAAAACAUAUCAUGGUUUAUUCAUUCACCCAAGAAAUACUUUUCUGAGGGUAUGCCAGGUCUUCUGCCAAUACAUAGAAAUAGAUUACAUUGUCAGUGUCCUCAAAGAAUCUCCAUAGACAAUUUAUAAUGACAGACAAAUAAGCCAAUGCUUAUAAUACAGAGACAUGCAGGCUGCAGUUGAAGGUCUUUCAGUAUCAUGAAGAAGUUUGUAGGAGAGAAGUGAAGAGCCCAGGAGUGUGGUCAGUUAAGGCUUACAAGAAGGUAUAAAGUGUGAAUGAACUGAGUCUUGAAGGACACCUGGAAAGAGGUCAGACUGAAGAAGGGGUGGGUCUUCCAGGCAAGAAAGAAAAAAAAAAAAAAAAAAAAAAAAGAAGUGCUAGAAAAGCAAUGACAGAAUGUGGCCCGUUCAGGAAAGCAUAUGAAGCACAUGUGACAGUACGUUUGUGAAUUGCUAGUGGAUGAGGGAGGAGAGAGGUAGCCAGUGGCCAAACACAAAUGGACUUAUAAUUUAUUCUGAAGGCCAUGAAGAUACAUUUUAUUUUAUAUAGGGGAGUAGCAGAUUGGCUUGAUUUUGGUAAAUUCAAUCCCGUAACCGUAGUGGAAGAAAGAGGAUGGACUAGGUGAGAGACUCAACAGCUCACCACUAGUGUAGUGUAGGCCAAAAAUGAGAAAAAACUAAACAAAGGCAGAAAGGAGUUAUUGACUAUUUGGAGCCAUUUAGGAGAGUUGAAUCAAUAAAAUUAAGUGACAGAUUAAUAAUAAUCACAUUAAACUUUUUCUAAAUAAAGCCAACACAUGGAAAACAGGAUGUUAGAAUGGGACUGUGAUGGGCUGAAUAAUGGCCCCCAAGAUAUCUAUGUUCCAAUUCCUGGAACCUGUGAAUGUAUGACCUUAUAUGCUAAAAGGGACUUUGCAAAUGUGAUACAUUAACUAUCCUGAGAUGGAGACAGGACCCUGGAUUAUCUGGUGCAUCCAGUGUAAUCAUAAGUGUCCUUAUAAGAGAGAAACAAGAGGAUCGGAGUCAUUGGUAGUUGUGACAAUGGAAACAAGAAGUUGAAUUGAUUUGAGGAAAGGAUCCAAGCUAAGGUAAAAGGUAGGAAGACAGAUUCUACCUUUAUUCAAAGCCACCAGAAAGAAAACACCUUACCAAUAUUGUGUCAUUUUCUUCUAGCAUCAGUAGUGAGAUGUAAUUCUCAUUCAUAUUUAUUUUAAACUUCUAUUCUUUCAUACUGGAAGUUUUUACAAAACCAUCUUGAAAUCUUGGUGUUCAGAAAUUUUGGAAGGAAUGUCCAGUUGUAGGUCUUUUUACAAUUCAUUCUGCCUAUCACUUUGUGGUACAUUUGAUCUAGAGAUGACCCUUCUCCACCUCUGGAUAUUUUCUUCUACUUGAUUUUUGAUUAUUUCUCUUCCUUUCUUUAAAAAAUCAUUUUCAGACUUAGUUGUAUGAAUAUUAGACCUCCUAGAGUAACUGUCUGUAUCUGUUAAGUUUUUCUUAUAUUUAUCAUCUAUUUUUCUAUUGUACUUUUUGUGAUAUAUUCUCAACUUGGUUCUGUUUUUUUUUAAAUUAAAUUCUUUAUUUCAAGUAUUAUAUUGUAAAUUUCCAAUACCUCUUUAUUUUUCUUCUCAUCUUUUCCACAGUUGCAUGUUUUUGUUUUAUACAUGUAUAAUCUCAAUCUCCCUGAAGUUUUUUUUUUUUAAUCUUUUUUUUCUGUUUACUACAUAUUGUUUUGUUCCAGAUUGGUGUGCAGGAGGUUUAUUAGGAAGUAUCCUUGGGAUCAACACCCAAGGAAGCAAAGAGAAGAAAAGGAUUCGGGACUGAGCAGAGGGACAAGUUGAGCUGCAAUGCAAUUUCAAUGGAGCUUUCAUCCAAGUUUUGGGGAAUUGUGAAGCAGACUCAUUGCUUCCACCUGUUCCUGGACCAGUCCUAGAUGCCAGCAAUAGAGAAAUCCCUGCAGUUCCUCAAAGGAAAAAAGUCACAUGUUCAUGAUUAUCAAACACAGCUGUUUGAUUGGCAUUAAAAUGGAUCUGCCUGAUAAGACCUGGAACUGAGAACCCAAACAGAGCCUAAGAAACGUCUCUAUGCUGGUCCAAUCUGUGGAUCCUGAGUUGGUGACCUCGUCCCAGAUGGUCAGCCACAACCAGGGAGGCUUUACUGCUUCAAGACUCACUUUGCUGCUCAGAGGGUCUCUGUGCCUCUGGUCUCUAUGACAAGCUGUUUUCUCUCCUCUGGUGUUGCAUUCUGUCCUUUACAUGACAUAGAACGACAUUUUAAAGCCACCUAAGUGGGACAAGUCUCUCCUGUGAAGAGUGUAAAUCUAAUUGGAUCCACCGUCUCCUUGGUGCCUUGGCAGUGCCUAUGCAACACCUUUAAAUCUCCUCUAAGCAAUGGUGGUAUUUACUUGUACCAAGUCACCCUUCCACUUUAGAUUUGAAUAAAAUGCCAUGUUGCAAGCAUGGGAUUUGGCCUCCUGAGUGGUUACCAGGGGGCUUAUCAGUCCAUUGACAGUGCUGGAAGAUGUCUCCUUGUAUGAUGAAUCAUGACCAAUAGGAAAUGAGAGAUGGGAGGCAUCUUGCAGGUGAAUCUCUCGUUUCUUCAUUCCAGGGACAGCAACAAGCUCUGGUGCCUCCAAGUCUGAAAUCAAGGUGUCAGCAGGGCUGUGAUCCUUCUGAGCAUCCAGAUAAACUCCUUCCUGGUCUUUUCCUAGCUUCUGGCGGUGGUUUUCCAUUCCUUGGCGUUCCUCGGCUUGCAGGUACAACAUGCCAAGCUCUGCCUCUGUCAACGCAUGGCCUUCUUUCUGUGUCUCUCACUCCAUGUCCCUUCUCUGUAUUCUUAUAAGGACACCAGUCAUAUUGUAUUAAUGCCCACUCCAAUGACUUUACCUUAAGUAAUGACAUCUGCAACACCUCUGUUUCCAAAUAAGGUCACACUUUGAGGUAUUGGGGAUGAUGAUAGGGUUAGGACUUCAAUAUAUUUUGGGGCCAGAGAGGGGGACAUAAAUCAACCCAUAACGUAGCCCAUCAUCAGUUCUUGUAUAACUGGCACUGGAUAAUUUGGGUUCCCUUAGAAAUAGACCCUGAAACAGAGAUUCAUGUUUAAGCAGUUGAUUUGGUAGGUGAUCCCAGAAAAUGCCUUAGGGAAGUGGGAAAGUAGGGCAGGGAGGGGAAGGCAUACAAUAAAAUUACUGAUUAGACUUAUUUGGAGUUUUUCAAGGGACUUCAUUUUCCUAGGUUUCUGAGAAUUAGAUAAAGAAUUUUGAGAUAGCUCCCUGAUGUCACAGAAAGGCAAACCUGAACAGAGAAAAACCUAAUUUGCCCAUGGCCCUUUAAUAAGAUAUGGGAAAAUUUAGAAAGAACAUUUCCUGCCUCAGUCUCUACUCUGCUCCUUCAGCUACUCAACUGUGUCUGACUUGUCUAGAAGGCUAAGUAAGCCAAAUUGUUACAUGGUGCUCUUUCUAAAGAGGAAUUGUGCAUUUCUUAGUAUUAACGUUUCUUUUUAAGGUGGACACCAUGCAUUUAUAUAUGGGUAGAGUUUAACACCAUUUUUAUCAUAUAAAAAAGGCUUAGAGAUUUUUCUUGCUUAAGAUGAUGCAUCAAGUUUUUGAGAAAAUCUGGCUUAUAAGCCGAAUUUUUUUUUCUGUUUUGUAUGCAUUACUUCUUUUCACAUAAACACAAAUAUUUUUUGGUUACUUACGAGCUGUGUGUACAAUGUGAUCCAGUCAUCGGAAUUGCUACAAUAAAAUAUAUUUUACUGGAGACAGAGGCACCCCACAUAAUCUGACCUUCUCAUAUUUAAACUGCAUGACAAGAAAUUUGGCAUAGUUAAUAAAGAAGUGUUUUCUCCUUUAUAGGUUGUGUCCUGUAACUCAAAGAUUUUAUAUACUUGGAUUAGUUGCUACUUGGUGUGCAUGUUUGUGUGAGUGUUGGUAAGAAAUCCUAUUCUGACUAAUGCCUGAACAAUGGAAAUAUAUUAGGUUUUAGAUGUGCAAAUGUUUAUUAUAACACUGGUAUUGGAAUAACAAUAAUACUAGCGACUGUAAAUGUGAACUUCCUGCUAUUGAAGGAGGCUUGUAACUUAUACAUAUAGUAUACAUGCCCAAUGAUGUUUGUUUUGAUAUCUAAUGUAGUAAUACAAAAUCUAGUAUAAUUAACCACUGUAACUUUGGAUGAUAAGCUAACUGAAGUUAUAUGUGAAAAAGUUUAGCCCACAAAGAAUAAUUUUUAACAUCAGAAUAUGUAGCUGGUCUUGUGUAGUCAAGGGUGGAAAGAGAAUCCAAUUAUCACUUUCCCAACAUGGUAUUUAGGUGGGGAAUCAAACUUCAAGGGUCCAUAAUUUACAGCAGUCUCAUGCCCAAAAAAAUUAUAGAAAGUAUACUUGUGAGAGUUGUAAUCCUACACAAAAAUUUUUAGUGGAGUUAUGGAAGGUAUGUGAAUUUUAUGUUUUCUUUUGGCUGUGAUUAAAGUUAUAAUGAGGUUUUUGUACUAAUUAUUUCUUUGUAUACUUAAAGACUUGGUUUCAAAUCCUGUCUCCUGCUUAUUGUAGUAUGAUUGUACAAUUUAUUUAAUUGUCCUCUGUUUUGUCAUCUGUAGAGCAUUUCAAACUUUUAUUCCCAUCUGCUAACGCAAUGCCUGCCAUAUAUUAAGUGUAAUUAAAGAGUCUCAUUCUAAAUCAAACGAUUUUAAAGGAUUAUCAUUAGGAUAACUGACAAAGCUUGACACGUAAAGUAGACACUCAAUAAAAAAUAUUUUCAUUCCCAGUCAUGGUGUGUGCUCUUUGUAUGUAUCAUGAUACAUGUUGGAAGAAGCAUUUUUAAAAACCCUCAAUUUAGAGACUAUGGACACGUUAUUCAAACUCUGACAACUUCAAUUGUUUCUUCUCUAAAAUAAAAAAGAAAGAACUACCCUUCAGUGUUGAGAAUCAAAUGUAUUAAUGAAUGCAUGAAGUUCUUUGAUUUUACUUUUUAAUCUUGAAAAUGGGAAUUGUAUUAAUUACAUAUCUUAAAAUGUUAUGAAGGCCAAUUUAGAGAAUGCAUCUGGAAACAAUUUUUUUAAAUCUGAUAAGUAUUGUACAAACGUUAAUUUUUGUCAUCAUGAAAAGUUCUAGAAAUAUUAGAUUUAUUUCUGAUCAGUAAACAUUUAUUCUCUAAACAGUAUAAAGUAUUUGCUGCACUCUCAAACUUAAUCAAAUCAUUACAUUUGAAUAUUAUCAAUAUUGAUUAUUAUCAAUCAUGACCCUGUAUUUAAAAAAACUAAUUUGUGAAUAUUUAGAUUUCUAGGAAACCAAACAUACCUGCUAAUGAUUAUUAAUAACAGUUUUUUACAUUUUAAAAGGGUUUUGUCACAAACUUCUUUUAAUCAGUAAGAUCUACUUUAUGUUAAAUAUGUGAUUUGAUUAGUAAAGUUCCUUUUUACAUUGCCUUUUACAAUCUCAUUGUGUAGAAUGUUUUCCUGUAAUUAAAAUGAACAAAUUAGAAAUAUUGAUUAAUCCUUUGGAUGAAGCCACCUCCAAGGUAAUCUCAAUUACAAGGUCCCUGCCCUGAGGAAGCUUAGGUAUGAAGUAGCAUUGAAGACAGUCAAGACUGACAUUGUCAAUAAAAUAUCCAUGGAGAAAUUGACACUCAAGUGAGAUGUUAAAGGCAAAGAGGAUGGGAAAUAAGAGGGCAGUGGCCUGUGUAAAGGAGAGCUGGGAAUGGCCAGG